GAUGAACGCUGGCGGCGUGCUUAACACAUGCAAGUCGAACGGUGAAGGCGGAGCUUGCUCUGCUGGAUCAGUGGCGAACGGGUGAGUAACACGUGAGCAAUCUGCCCCUGACUCUGGGAUAAGCGCUGGAAACGGCGUCUAAUACUGGAUACGAGCUGCGAAGGCAUCUUCAGCAGCUGUCAAGAAUUUCGGUCAGGGAUGAGCUCGCGGCCUAUCAGCUUGUUGGUGAGGUAAUGGCUCACCAAGGCGUCGACGGGUAGCCGGCCUGAGAGGGUGACCGGCCACACUGGGACUGAGAGACGGCGCAGACUCCUACGGGAGGCAGCAGUGGGGAAUAUUGCACAAUGGGCGAAAGCCUGAUGCAGCAACGCCGCGUGAGGGACGACGGCCUGCGGGUUGUAAACCUCUUUUAGCAGGGAAGAAGCGAAAGUGACGGUACCUGCAGAAAAAGCGCCGGCUAACUACGUG
rnacentral:rRNA from 1 species